GGGGGCGAUUCGGCUUCGACGGGAAACAGGGAAGCUUGUGCCGCAUGCCGAGCUUGGUUAACUCGUAAAACUGAUCAAGCACGAUAAGUGCCGAACCAAUUAACGCACUCGCAGCCUAAAAGAACUGCGACGUCUCAGAACGUCAUGCCCGCUGGGCUUUCUGAGGCGUAAUUUAAGCGGGAUGGCUGGUACGUGAUUCCAGGGGCGCUUGCCAGCGAGAUUUUACUCGGGACUGCGGUAAAAAACCUGCCUGCCGGUGAUUUUGCCGUCUGAUUCAAAAGACAGGAUAAGCAUGUAGAAGCCUGGUGAAACUUUUUCCGGACCCGGGUUCGAUUCCCGGCGCCUCCACCA
rnacentral:tmRNA from 1 species